CCAGCAGCCGCGGUAAUUCCAGCUCAGCGAGUGUAUUCCUUCUUGCUGUGGUUAAAAAGCUCGUAGUUGGAUCUGAGUGCUUAGCGUCUGGUGCAGUUCGCUGUUACUGGGCGCGGCACAUGAUCGUCAAUCGGUUGCCGUUGUUGCCUUAACUGGUGAUGGCGGUUUACUGUUGACAAGUUUACUUUGAACAAAUCAGAGUGCUCAAUACGGGCGUUUCGCUUGUAUGGUUGUGCAUGGAAUAAUAGAAUAGGACCUUGGUUUGUUGGUUUUCGGAAUUGAGGUAAUGAUUAAGAGGGACAGACGGGGGCAUUCGUACUCCAGCGUGAGAGGUGAAAUUCUUG
rnacentral:rRNA from 1 species